AUGCCUCAUCCUGAACCAGAACCUAAGCCAGAGCCUAGGCCUAAUCCCAAGUCCGAACCAGAGCCGGAACCUGAACCAAAUCCUAAACCCGAAUUACCGAAGCCUGAGCAACCGCGCAUCAUCCUACCAGCAGCUGACAACUGACGAUCGACGUGACCACAUAUGCUUGAGCGUAUCUGGAAUUCUGAAUAAACCGGCCGGGCUGGGGUCUGCCGGAGUUGCAGCAUCUAGAUGUAGGUGGUAGCUGCUGCCUGAUGUGCCUUUUCUCUUAUGCUGAUUACAUCAGUGCAGCCUUAAUUAGUUUGCCCUUUGUAUAAACAAGGUUGUGAUGAGCCAUUGCUAUAAAGAUUCUCUAUGCCAUGCGUGUAUGCUCACAGAGUCUCAGGCUAUAUAUGUACUUAUGCUUCCCCUCCUUGGUAUUUUGUGAUCACGUACAAGUAUGUUACUAUGGACGGACAAGGGUUUCGAUGAUUGCCACAUAUUUAUUUUAUUUUUUUGUGAAAAAAUUAAAUGUAAUUUAACAUUAAUAUAUAAUACAUAGAAACUCAUUCAAGUUCAGAAAAUACAGAACAUAAAUUACAGAAUUUGGGCAGGGUUGCUAAGGGCUUUCCACGAUCACGUGCCCCUCGACGGAGAUGUAAGGGACGAGGCGAAAUGUCACAACCUCGAACCUCGUUCCACCACCUCCAAGUUACAUCUGCGGCGUUGGAAGGACGGCGUAGAUGAGGCCGUUGACGCUGACGGCAGCACAAGCCACCCUGAAGUUGUGCGAACAAGGGCAGUUUGAGGCCAUCAAGCCGCCCGUCCUGGCAUGGAUGGGCCGUCGGUGCCGGCGCUUUGGGCCAGUGUGGAUGAGGCAAGGCAACAUGCAUAAAAUCUUUCCAGGGCGGAUUUUUUAUAUAUUUUUUAUUUUAUGAUUUUGCAAAAAUAAAUAUCAGAGGAAAAAAUUGCAGAUCUAGAUCUAUACCGCCGGAUGAAAUGGCUAUAGCUAUUUGAAGCCGUGGUACGUAAGAAAAGAAAAUAAGUAAACCGUUUAAACCGGCGAUAGGUUACAUGGCAGGGGUCGGGACCUUACCGCCGGAUGAUAAGGGUUGCCGCUAGCUUGUCGCUAGCUUCCGAAGCUACAGGCGCUUAUAGGAACGGCUAUAGCCAUUUCAUCCGACUAUAAGUUCAUUUAAAUUUUUUUAAUUUUGAGAAGUUUUUUCUUAGCUAAAAAAAUAUAUAAAGUUAGAUCGGAAGCAUUAAAUAUUCAAAUAUGAUAUUAUUGGUUUCAAUAUGAAAUUCCAAAUUUUAGAGAGAGAGAGAGAGUGCUUUGAGGAAAUAUUAUAAAUUGAAUUACUUCCCGGCCAUGAAAUACAUAGCUGUUUCUAGCGAAAUUACAACACAUGAAAAUAAAAUCCGUGCACAACAUAGGAACACAAAUGGAUCUGACUAAACAAUAGAUUGCAGUGGUAUGUGCGGCACUGAUGCUAUCCUAAACAUGUGCCGUUGCUAAACCUAACAUGCCUUAGGUAAUUGAAAUAGCCGGGGAUAGAGCCAUCUCUACUUUCUAGUAGAACUGGCUUUGCGAGAGCUGGGUCCUCAUAAUAUCCAGCACCCCCAGAGGAAGGUAGUGACGGUGGGCGAUCCUUGUUGUGGUAGUAGGAGCACUUGCACCAUGGAUCGGUACAAAUCAGAUUGCCAGCGAUGUUAACCGCCUAAGGAUUUGCAUCAACGUCGGCUUGAAGAUUCUCCACCCUAUGCUCGAGGUUAAAGAUCUUGCACUUGAGGUAGUGGAUGUACUCUUGAGUUAGCUCAGGAAGUGGAGGAUCCACCCACUUCUCAUAGCGGCAGUUUCCUUCAUCGAGAUAAGAUUGAACAUAAUGUUAGUUUCUAGCAUGAAAAGAGUAGCAAAAAUAACGAAGUAAUAACAUGACUCACCAAGCCAUACGGACAUCGAAAGAAACGCCGGCUACCAUCACCGUAGCCAUCAAACAGCUGCACCACGCAAGUCAAGUCAUGGUGACACAUUGGCCACAUAUCAUGACGGUCAUCAUAUGGCCUAAGGGAGUUUGGAGGGGCAUAGUUAGCCCUAUCAUGCAGAGAGAAGUUGUUGAGGGUUCCUCAUACUCUGUUGGGCCAAAAGAACCUGGCCAAGUGAUGGUGGGAAUAAGAGCAUUACCUCCUCUUCCCCUCCUUCCACGACCUCUCCCUCUUGCGGAUGCUAUUGUUCUUCCUCCUGCUCAGUGGUGUGGAAGAAUACGGGAGAGGGAGGUCCAUAUAAGGAGAGUUGAGAUGGAGAUGCGAUUUACCACCCUUUGUUUAGUACCCCGUCAUGUUGAAUCAUCCUGAAAAGGCUUAGAUAUAGGCUUUGUAGGUGUAUGGAUGUAGGGCUUAGUGUGGAGUCCUAUCUGCCUGAAAAGGCUCACGUUUAGGGUCCCUACAGUCUAUAGUGUAGGCUUUUCAGUGACGGUUCACGUCAAUAAUAGAUUACCACUAUCUGAGUACCAUACUGGCAAUAGGGUGGAAUCUGAGUACUUGAAGCGUCGAUACGAAAUGUUAUCAUAGUACAAACAACAGUACAAUGGCAUGUGAGGUGCCCAACAUGACAAACCUAAAGGGCACCUUGCCUAGGAUAACAUGCCUUAGGUAAUGUAAAUUGGUGAAUCACAACUAAUGUUCUAUUGGGUGAACCGGGGAAGUUUCCCCACCCUCGCUUUUUUGGAGGAACAUUCUCCAUUCUACUUCUUCAUGUUCUUAUGUCGUUCUUCUUCCCGGAGAGUUGUGCCUGACGAGCUUCGAAUUCUUCCUCCUGCCAUUUUAGUGCUGCCUCUCGAGCACCCUAACUUCUCGCACCGCCUCUGCAGUUCAUCCUCCUUACCCUUCAAACGGAUAUGUUGUUGGACAAUGCGUCACUCUUGCUCAAGCCGAGCAAGACGUGCUGCCUCUCGAGCCUAUCUAUGCCUAGCAUAGUAUUUCCCUUUGGUCUCUAGCUGGUGAAGGAUUAGGCCCACCUCCCAUAAAGGCCUAGUGUCAAUCCAUUCCAUGAAUGUACAAGCUUGCAUGUUGAAAACAAAUUUAAAAUGUAACGAACGGUCGGACCUUGAAAUCAUCAUCAAUGUUGAGACACUUAAAGCACCUACACCCCUUCUUACCUCGAGGUAAUCGAUCAUCCCAUACUUGCAACCACGCACGGAAGCCGCAGUGGCAUUUGGGGUGCUCAUUCCAUGGUGGAAUCCCAUUUUAGUCAUCCCUAAAGCAACAAGCAAACUCAUUACAAGAGUUGGAUUUGGGUUAGACAGUGGUAGGAGUGCAUUGGAACGUUGCUUGGAUGCCUGUUAUAUAGAGCACAAGUGACAUGGACCAUGUCCAUCAUGGUAAAGCAAAAAGAACUUCCAUGGACAUCAUAUUCUGCACCGGGCUACAUAUCAAAGUCUCUGCACCGGCCUACGCCUCUUAGCCUACACCAGCCUACACAACAUAGCUUUCACUGGCCUACAAAAGAUAAAGAAGGACCUAUGGACUAAAUGCAUCCUCGCUUGUGACGCACAACACCAGCACCACGUCUCGCGGCCCGCUACACUGCUCUGGUCUGGAGCUGGUCGUACGUCAAGGGCUCCGGAGGGGCAACCUCGCGAGCCGGACAUCCUAGUGCGUCUGCAAUGGUGUUGCAAACUCCUAGGUCGAGCCCUGUGUCGAAGGCACUGGCGCUCCACCCAACUGCGAAGGACCUAUCUCCUCAGGGUUAUAGCUAAAAAUGGAGUCCGCCCAGCUUGCAUUCGUCCUCUGGAUAUUCUCCUCUAUGGAAUCGUCAUCAGUGCCUCUGUGGCCUGUGUACACUGUGAUGGAACAAAGAAAUGUUAUUGUCAAUUUGGAUUUGGAUCCGUAUUAGUAAUGAAAAAGAAUGCAUGUAUUGAACUAUUGAUGACUCACCUACGUCGUCCACAUGGAGUCCACGCGAAGACGGUCCAGCACUAAGUGGUCGUCCGCUGAAGUGUUGCGGCACUGUGUCAUGAAAUUAUAAGUUAGUACGACCAAUUACUAGUGGAAUUGGUGAGUGGAAAAAAAGAAAGUAAGAAACACAUACUUGUGGGGUAGAAAUAUUGUGGACGCGGCGCGUAAGUGGAAGGACCUGGUGGAGCUGCAACCCAAGAUGGUGCAACUGGAGAAGUAAACGACCCGCGGUAGCUUGCGUGUGCUUGUGCUGCAGCUACUCACCUCCUAGUAAUCCUUCCACUCGUCUUUGUAUGCGUGCACCCUAAAAGGUCAAUUGCUUUUGACAUAACACACAUCAUAUAUUGUCUAGCUGCUCUUCACCACCCUAAACUAUCGUUGCAAAGAUAAAGUCUACCAUCACUUUAUAGCUGCCUUCACCUCAUCCUCAUUAGGGUACAAUGCACCGACAUAGACCUCAUUCUCCCUUUACUUCCAAGGGACAUUUUCCCCUUCAUUUACUGCUAGGUUCGAAUGGUCAUAACUUGACCAAUUCUGUGGGAUAGGAUUAGCAUCAUCCUCAUCCGACGAGUCAUCAUCCAUGGCAUGAAGGUCCUCUUCUCCCUACCUCUCUACCUGCUCAACUAAUCUAGGGAUGUGUUCGCCCUCAUCAGCCUCGUGAUUUGGUUCACGGGGUACCUCUUCAUCCUCUACAUCUGCUUCUUCUACCCCAUGUUCAGUAUCUUCUUCAGUUUAUCCAUCGGUAAUCUCCGGACCUUCCUCGGCUCUAACUUCCCCACCACCGACUUCCUCUUGCAACUGACUGUUAGACCCAAUCUUCUGGAACAUUUCAACAAACAAUAUCAGUGGUAAACCGCAUUCAGUAGCAGUAUUUACAUAGGCCCUCCAGUUCUGUGUUCCUUCAAGUGGCAUCAACUCCCAAAAUAUUAUGGUAGGUCGGAACCUCACUACAGCCCUGACAGAUAGCUCAACUUGGUCUCUAUCAAGCUCGAAAAUCUUAAAUAGCCAGUUGCAUAUUGAUCCCCAAGUACUCUCUCUUGCUCUCGGUACUUGUUUGCAGAACAACUUAAAUUAAGAUAGAUCUACCCCUUCGGGACCAUAUCUAACCUCCCCCAGACCAUAGAACACUUGGAAAAAUAAACUAUCGGACAUGCCUGUCAACAUACACGACAUCAAGAAGCAUUAUUACUAAAUGUUACUAAUUUUAACUAACCCUAAUAACACCCAUGCAUUUUGAAAAACUAACUCAUGCAUUACCAUUAAUAUUAAAUUUAGAGUUAUCUAAAUAUGUCCACAAACUAAAUCUAAUUACAAGUAAACUAAGCUAAAUCUACUUCAUCAACUAACUAAUAUUUAUCUAUGCCUAUUUUAUAUACCUAGGUUGAUUUAAUACAUAAUACUACACCAACCUUAAUACCUAGUACUACAUCUACUAACAACAAACUUAGAUAAACUGCUAGAUUUCAAAAAUUACCUGAAGCGAAGCGAAGAUCCAACAAAACUUCGCUUCAAUCCCCCCUCCCCUCCUCUCCUCUCCUCUCCUUUCCUCUCCUCCCCUCCCCUCCUCCUCUUUCUCUUUUCUUCCCGAAACCUGCAAGUCCUGGGCAAUUUUGGCUUUUGUAGCGUGGGGCAUCCUACCGCCGAGUGAUCCGGCAGGAUUUCCCCACUCCCGCCAUUUGAAUCGGUGGUAGAGCCUUCCGCCAUUUCAGCUGGCGGUAGGGGGCGUGGGGCCCUAGCACCGACAGCUUCCUGUCAUAUGAGACAGUGGUUUUUUGCCGUGGUCCCCCGCCCGCCGUUUCAAGCGGCGGUAGGCGGUUUUGCGCGCCACGCUGGACAGCUCUCACGUGGCGCCCCGUUUUCUGUGCGUGGUUGUUUUUUUAUUCAUCUCGCCACUUCAAAUGGCUACCGCAGUUCAACUGGCGACUGGGACCCUACUGCCGAACCAAACGGCGGUCGCCGUUUCAUCCAGCUGUAUAGGUCUAAAUCUGCUAAUUUUUUACACGGGUAUUUAUUUUUGCAAAAUCGUAAAAUAAAAAAUUUUCUCCAGGGAGCUUGGCGCGCUUCACAUCAGCAUAGACCCCUCAUUGGUGGGCUGGGAGAUAGAGCAAUUCUUGUUGCAUGGACGUACCAUUGAUCUGAGCAGGAUGCAAACAUGUCUGGUUUACCUGCAAUGAAGCGGUACUGUGACGUCAUGGGUGCAGCAACUUAAUUAUCUAACUGGAAGUUGACCAGUGGGUGAUAGAUGAUGCAUUAUAUGAAAUUUUACCACGCACAGCGCCUGUCAACAUGAUAUAUAGAGGUAGUCCUUGUUUAUAGCCAGGAUGUAUAUAUAUGAUUGAGAUGAUCCAUUAAACCUGUGUGUCGCUCCUAUAGUAAACGCUAAACGACUCGCAAUGCAAGCCGUCGCUGAGUGCGUGACGAAGCAGGUCUUGCUUUUUCCAGGCCGGUGUGCAUACUAGGAAGGAGGGGAUACACCUUUUCAUACUGGGAAAAGGUACUUUAUUUGUGCAAAUAGUGUCCCUGCUGUCCCUGUCCGAUAUCAUCGACUUCAGUUUAUAUUUAAUCUGAUCGAUAUACUACCUUAAGCAUGUGGAAAUGGCAGCAGCACUCGUCGCACGGUCUUUAGGCUGCUUGACAACUAACACCAAUCAUGCGUACCAGCCCACUAACAGGCAAUUAAUAAAUCAUUCUAGUAAUUUCUAAUUGACUUGCCGUUAAGCUAAUCGUGCUUUUGCUAGCUAGUACGUGCUAGAAAAUAAUUCAAAAAGUUCCCCUACGAAUUCACAGCCGAAUUAAAUUGGACGUUCGGUCCAAUAAGACAUAGUGCUGACACACACACAUUACGUUAUUUUCACUACUUGGGCUUUUAUUUAACUGCUUGGUAGAAGCAAGCAAUGCAAGCGUACAUUUUAUGCAUGUUCCAAAUAAGCUUGUGUUACCAGUGCAGUGAGCUUUUCGUCUCCCACGAAUUGAAUAUAAUUACCCAAAUAAACUAAGUAACUAACUAACUAACCCCUCGGGCAGGGCAACUUAUGGUGCUGGCAGUUGGCACAUUGUAGUAUACUACAACUUGCUGCGUUGUACUGAGAAAUGCUUAAUUACAUAUGAUCACGUGUUUCAAAUAAAUUUGGCCCUGCCCACUUAAUUAUAUAAUAAUAACAAACAAAAGGAAGGAUGCGCGUGGAGGCUUGGUGCGUACGUACGUGCAUGCCCUGCAGGCCCCCUAGCUAGCUAUAUAAUCGGCUCAACGCUCCUUAAACUAGCGCCCGGCCAUCGUAUCUUUCGUCCCUGCUUCAGCUAGCUAUUGCUAUUGCAACGUAGCCAUCCGGCCUCCAUCCAUCGACGAUGGUGUGUAUACUGGCAGCACCCGUGACCAUGUGAUCUACGCCUUCAUCCUCGCAGGUGUGCUGACCGUCGGAUGCCUGCUGGGUGUCGCAGGCACGGCGCUCUGGUACUGCUGCUCCGCGCCACCGCCUCCGGCUCCGGAUCAGCAGCGUCGCUCCGGUUGGGAGGGCUUAAAAACUGCCGUUGGUGCAGGGUACCAUGCGAUCGAGGGCUUCUUUACGGGAAAAUGGUAACAUGGUACGAUCCUAGUUAUGCAUAUGCAAAGCCGCAGCAGGUAGCGUUUGUGUUGGAAUAACAUAUCCCGAGUGGCCGAGUUGAGUCCUUGUUCUGCUUAUUGUCUUAAAAGUUUGGAUGUUCGUUACUACUUCUGCAUAUACUACAUAUAACGGCAAGUUUGCCUGCUCCUAGCUACAAGUUUGCUAUGCAUACUGUAUUACUGUACGCGGAUGAUCGAUUUGUUCUUUUGUGCCGUUGUCGUUUUUUUUUACUCCCCAUCUUAGCUUGGCUUGCUCCCAUUUAUUUUCUGGAAUGGUAUAUAUACGGCCGGCCAGUGAAUCUGAUACAACACAAAAAUACAAGACUACGAUCCUAGGAGGUCAUAGGUAGGAAAAAAAACUAUACUUGUAUGGUUGGAUUAGAACAUCAACGCAGGUAACCACUCAACUCGAUACUGCCAAACCCGACCGGUUGGAUUGGGACCUCAACGCGGCCGCACCACUCUACUCGGCAAUUGUAGCCGAACUGAAGCCUUAACGCAGCACCCAGCAACAUUCUCACGCUCAUAUAGUCGCCGAAACGUCCAUGCAGAGACCCGAAAGAAACAGACCGCACCGCAACGAGAAGGCCACCGUCAUGCGGGAUCUUUAGCCGUAGUGCCGCUACAACACCACAUUCCACCCGACAGAGUAAACCUCUCACAGUCUGCCUCGCAGUCACCACCACGAUAACACAAAUGCGCAGGGACCUCACCACACCUGCCGUUGGACUUCACCUCACUCUUGUUGCCUCGAAGAAACACAUGGGACAUACAACAGAGACCGUGCCCGACUCCAGCGAGUAGGUGAGCUCGCUGGCCAUGGGGUGGAAGGCGCGCAGGACCUCCGCGAGGGACGACCUGAGUGCGUCGACGACGUCCGGGAAGGCGACGGGUGGCGGCGGCGCGGGAAAGAGGAAGGCGCGGCAGUGCGGUGCCAGCUCGAUCCAGCGUGUGUCGAAUGGGGAGAGUGGCACCGCCCGGCGGCCUUGCGCCGCCGGCGGUGGCGCUUCGCCGGUGGGGUGAGCGAGACGGUGGCGACGCGCCUCGUGCGCACGGCAGACGCCAUGUUGAUCUCGACGUACAGAUAGCGAGGUACGGUGGCGCAGUUUGGCUGGACUCGGUUCUUGGCAUUGUGCAAGGUCGCAGUGCUUCUGAAAUAUGCCUUGAGCAUCGUGAGAAGUGGCUUUGAGCUAGUUGGGCAGAUGAAUACACUUUAUUCAAUAUGAUGAUGAUCGGUGACAAUUUUAUUUGAUAAAUUAUGAUUUUUGUUGAAGUCUUAGAAAACUGUUUUUAAUCGAACUACCAUGGUCCAUGCAUUGUUCCAUCGAAAAUGAGCCAUUGCAUUUGCUUUGACGGUUUGGAUGGAUGAGAUGAGGUGACAGAGCAAAUCAACCAAUCAUAUUGAUAACAUGUGGCGCAAUUUGAUUAGAGGGACGUAUGGAUAAUUAAUUAGUUUGAAUCUAAACUUGAAAUGCAUUUCUCCUCUUAAAAACUCAAGCCAUUUUCAAAUCCGUUUCAACCACCCCGUUAGUUGGAAUAAGUACAUCGAAAUAAGAUUCAACAUGAAUAUUUUUAUUUUAAAAAAUCAAUAUUUCAAAUGUUCCAUUUUAGUAUUUGGAAUAUACUAAUUUAAUAAUUUAAUGUCGUAGUUCAAUAUUUCCAUUUUAAAUGUUGAACUAGUUUGUCCAAAAUCUUUGACUUAAAUUUUAUUGAUCGUUGAAUCCAGUUUUUUUUUUAAAAUGUUGAACUAUGUUUUGUUUUAUAGGUCCUUGAAGAAUGAAGAUGUUGUAUUAGAUUUUUCCUUGUGUUGGGCUAAUAGCUAUGGACCUUUUGUCUUUGGGGGCAAGCUGGGCUGUACCCUGAUGUGAAGAAAAAUGGGAACAAAACAUGUGCUACUACUACUUACAGCCCAUGCAGGUGAUCCUUGGGCCAUUUGCCUUCCUGGGCUUGGGCGACGCCCACAUAUUCACACGUAUCUCAUAUGUGGCUUGGUCCACCUUCAUGGGAACAGAGGUGGAUGGUAGGUGCUUCUUCAGUUCUUGACACCCCUCCACCAUACAUGUCUCAAUCUUUUCUUUUCCCUGUUAAUGACAAGUCAUGGGGUUUCUUCUUCCUCUGACACGACAGCAAGGAACUACUUUUGACUGAAUUAAAGCUCACGCGUAUGUGUCAUUAAUAAAGCCUAAUUGUGUCAUGUUCGACGCGACAUGCAGGUCAGGACCAUCGGAGAGAGGCCGGGUGACAAGAGACGAUGGAACACGGCUGCUUCGUUCCGCCUUGCUUGUUGCUUGCCCAACGUUAACCCACACACAAAGAUACUAGUAUUUGUUACCCUCCCGGAAAGAGAGAGAAAAUAGGUCUUUUGUUACAGUGACAUGCAUAUCACAUAUAGCCUUUUUUAUCUCACAUGCAAAAAUGUUACUAGUUACCUUGUUGGGUACAGUACAAUAAUCUUGUUCCUUUCAAAUGUCAACAUCUUUUGUUUCUGUUUGAAGUGAAGCCAAGGGGGGUUUGGAAGGAAAGAGAAGGCGUGUGGAAAAGGCCGGGCCAUAGGAGUCAUGGGCACUACAUCUUGUUGGAUAUAGGAAGGAGGUUAGAAGGUAGUUGUCAGUGUCGGCGGAAAGAGUCAUUGGAGAUCCGACGAGACGACGAACCUCUCCUUCGCCUUCUUGCGUUGUGGCCGCCAGGAUCCAAGAAAAAGCGAUGUCCUGAUGCGUAGCUGUGCAGUACGUGUCUCGUUUCUUCUGGUAAUGUGUCUUCUAGAAGUAACUGCUAAGACUAGUAAUUUCACAAGGUUAUUACCAUCCGUAAAUUAUAACUAGGUAGCUAGAGAACUCCUAUAGAUGUGGUUUGUGAUUGCAAAUUAUUGGGAGUUCUGCACCUUCCGGCCGGCCAUUCCUUCGUUUUAAAAUAUACGACAUUUAGAACAAGGCUUAAAAGUUGUGUUUGAAAACAAUUGAGAUGAGGCUAGGGAGAACUUUUCUUGAAAAAUAGUGGAACGAUUUUGUCUUCUCCUUCCAUGCAAAUUUAUUCUUUUUACCGAAAUGUUUGCCGUUUUCCCUCAGCUCGAUCCAUCCUAGAAAAACAAGGAAAAUAGAAAAGAAAAUCUUAGCUGAUGUAUCCAUCUCCAUCUGGGAAUAAUGAAUGGAUUGUUGCGGCCGUACCGUACUCCUCCGCAACCGCCACUGCUGAGUGUGAUGUGUGAACACAGUUGGGUCUCGUCGCGUCGCCUCCAUAUCCCAUCCACUUAGCCACGACAAUGGCAGCAAACCGCAUACCGCUGAAACCCAGAGCUACCAGGCAGCGACAUGUACAUGUACUACUGCCUUCUAAACUAUGAUACGAUAAGGCCUAGAGAAGAAAAUGUACCUUGAGAUGAGGUCUACAUGGAUAUCAGUCUGAAUGUCUGAUUAUUAGUCUCUGGACUUCACAACCAUUUAUAAACAACCAUCUUGAACUAUAUGCAAAUAAAGUCUGAGAGCAUCUCCAGAGAUCAAAAGAAAGCAACUCAUGGAAUGACCUGGCGCAGCAGAUGAGUUGAUUCUUUCCCACUGUAAUGUUGAACAACCGAAUCUUUCACAAUUCAAAAGAUCAACCUAAACCAUGAGUCUCAUGAACAUUAGUGGAGUAAAGAAGUAUAGACUAUUCUAGAUUAUAGUUAUAGUAGUAGAAUUCCAAUAUCAUUUUGUGAGUGAGAUUAAUUAGGAUGCUUAGUAUAGGCACACUAGUGCUGAUACUUAGUGUAGGUCACCAGGUCUCAUGAUUACUGUAUAGGGUAAUUUUCUUGUUAUGGUAAAGUAUCAGUUAUAUUGCAUAUUAUUGUUAAUUUUCACUACCACUGAAAUGAAAAAAAAACGAAGACACAAUGCCACAAAUGGCAUAAAAAUACACACAUAUGGAGUGGUACCAGAGACGGACCACAUGACCCACAUCAAGAUGCCUAUGAUAUACCACAAGGUCGAGACCCGUCUCUGAUGCUUACUCAUCAUAGAUGUGUAGAGCAUCAAUAAUCAAUGUAUGUGAUCUCAUUGUACAUGUAUCUCGACGAAAAUCGUUUGUAUUUAGUAGCCUCAAUUAUUAGAGAAAAUUACCGCCGCCUACCAGUGCCGUCACGUCACCACCAUCCGUCCAUCCUCCAUGUGCUCCUCAUCACCACUGUCCUCCCUCAUCAUCCUGCCCUGGAUCUCAUUGGCUAGGAAUUCAUUUUGCUUUCCCAUCACGUGCGUAAUAUGUACACCAGUCAAGAUGGUCUACUGUUCCUAAUUUCCUCCUGUUGGAGGGUCCAAUUUAGUUUGGUUCGCACAUCAACAAAUGACGCUAAACCUAGACUUAGGAAUGACAACGGCCAACAAAUAUCUGGACAUUUUAAAUAAAGUGGUCAAAGCUCAAUUUUUUACUCAUUGUUCUUGCUAGUUCUAAACCUAGCUCCCCCCACUAUAGUUCAAUUUUUCUGUUUAAAUUCAUUUAUUUUUUUUAAAUCAGUUCAUCAGUUUCCCAAACAUUUUCCAUCUUUUUGCAAGCCUAGAAUGUAAGCGCAGGUUACUAUCUUUAAAUUAACGAAACAUACCAACUGUACGUAUUAUUUACCUUCUUCAUGAAUGAAAUAUUGAUGCACACUAUUGUGCAUAACAGCAGGGGCGGAUCCAGGGCCCGGGCUGCCCGGGCUGCAGCCCGGGGCGAGACCGUGGAGUCCCUUUAACCUAUGUGCUAUUUAGCCUAACAAAAUGAGGCUUAGGAGACAAAAUUAGACUAUUUUAGGUGUGAUUCAACAGCUCAGCCCGGGGCGCAGCUCCGUUCUGGAUCCGCCCCUGCAUAACAGCACAAAAUGUAAACAGUUUAUCACGGUUUUAUAUGUGUUCAAUGCCUAGUAAUUUUAUAAUAACCUGCCCGGUAAUUCUCUAAAAUAUAUUUAAAUGCACAUUUUACUAAUUUUUGAAGCUUUCUCCGGACUAAACCUGUGUUACGGAUCUACAAAAUCGGAUGCAAUGGAAGUUAGAACCAACUAUGCGGUGAGCCGGUGACCCUUUUAUUGGUGGAAGAGAAAUUGAAGUCCCAUGUGGAGGAGGACCUUGCCCGUUGGCCAGGUAAUAACUGAUGGCCACACACGUAGAGGAAAGACGUACUGUAUAGUACACCCCUAUUCAAUUACUUGGUCAUCAGAACAAUCCCUUGUUGUCAAAGCAAAAGAAAAAAAAUGGAAUCAAAAGAUUGAAUCAUUGGGGCACGAAAGAAACUACCCUUGACUAAAUUGCACGCGUAUGCCAUUAAGGCUUAAUGGAGUCAAGUGAUGGAUCGAUCGGGGACGAAGUGUUAAUCACGGCACGGCUCUGCCUUCUGCAUAUCCGUUGAUCAAGGGCUAGCUCAAAGGCAAAAGAUGUAUAUAGAUCUCUCCUUUGCCAAAGUGAUUCGCAUGUGACAGACCAUGCGGUAGCCAAAGGAAGAAAUGAAAAGGAGGACAGGUGGACCUGCAGGGGCCCAUGCACGGCCUUUUUGCUAUCCGACGUGUACAAAGAAGAUCAGACUCAGCUCCAUCAAUACAAAGUUUCCUCCCCACCUAACCCUACAUCUCAUCCUUUUUGAAGCUCACCACUUGCUUGGGAGACCAGUGACAUAUGAUCUAACUCCUAUUGUUUGUGAUGAGAUCAACCUAAAAGAGGGCCAGCUCAAUCAAGUCUUGCAGUGGCCAAAUCUUCCAUCACAUCUAUUUUUUUUUACUCGACUCACUUUUAAGCCAGAGAAGAUGAAUUGAUGGCUCGUUACUGUACAUGUACCUCAGUACCACUCUAUUGAAGCAGUGAAGAUGCGUUAAUCCCUUGUUAAUGCGUUUUUAUCUACAACUUGGUAAAAUUUGCCUACAGUUUUCUGAUAUACACCACUGACAUCAGCACACUCCCAUGACAGAAGGCAUUGCCUCUGCUUUCAUGCAUGUCAUCUCCUUGCUACUGGACAGAAGGAUAACACCAUUCCAGUCGAAUGAAUGUAGCAAAAACCUUCUUAAUUAAGCCCUACAUAUUAGUUUCAAAUUUAAAAAUUAUACAAGUUUUCUAACGUUUUAUUAUUUGUGUCCAUUUGCGAAAUGGAGUGAGGAAAGCAAAGAACAGCAAGGUUCAUGAUCGAAGAGAAGGGGAUAGGAGGGCCCAAAUUAAUAAUGAAGCUGUGCAUGCUAGCAGCAACAAUCCGGUGGUUGGAAGGUCGUUGUCAAGAUUGUCGAGUCGGUGGACGGAGCGGAUGGGUAAAGAUCCAACGAGAAAACGACAUCUCCGUCGGAGCAACGGAUGAAUCCAUGGAUCCGGCAAUCCGUACGCCUCCGGCCCCCGCCACGGGUGAGCUCGACGCGUGAACAUGGUCGGGUCGCCACCACACCCUGUCUUUCUUCAGUCCAUCCACGACUGUGGAUGCACAGCCACACGUCGCUGAUCCUAGAGCUAGCGAGCAGCGACAGCUACCUUUUCAAUUUGUGGCCGGCCGUAAAUCUAUGUAAAUGCAUGAAUAUGCAUGCAGGUAAAACUUUUGUGGUAAUAUAAUACCAGUACUUUUACGAGCCUCCUCGUCCCUUCCCUGGACUUCACUAGAACCGUCUAAACUCUACUCCCUCCGUUUCCAAUUGUAGGUCAUUUUGAAUUUUCUGGAUACAUAGUUUUUGAUAUGUAUCUAGACAUCAUAUAUAUCUAGGUGCAUAAUAAAAUCUAUGAAUAUAUAUAAGUCAAAACGUACAAUUUUGAACGGAUGGAAUGGAGUAGUAUUCAACAAGGGUCUAGAGACUCUUUGUAUGGAGGUUCUCAAAGGAAGUUUUACUGCCCGGCUGGCAACCGAUGUGGACACUGUCGUGUUGCUCACGCAGCAAAUCAAAGUCACCCUCGCUGCUCUUGCACACACAAAAGCAACAGCAGAAAUUUGACCUUCUGCAAGCCUGCAACCCAUGCACCAUGUCACAGUGCCCUCUUCCUUGGGCGACCCUGGACUCCACUCCACAAAUGCAAGCCGGCCAUCUAUGACUGCUGUGCAGACCUGCAACAGAAAAAAAAAUUGGCUCUUCGUCAUCAUCAGCACAAAAUAUCUUCUUCUCGAAGCAAGGAGAGGAUCGGAAGAUGUAAAGAACAGUCGCUACCUAGCUGGUGGUCAUCAGAGGCAGGGCAUCACGUUGUCAAACGCAAGCUAGAUACUGGUGUACCAGAAGCUAACACGUACACGUCGGGUGUGAUAUGUGGUGACGACUCGCGCAGGGCAGCAUGUGCUGGAAGCAGAAAGCCUUACGCGCUAAAAAAGUAAAAGUGAAGAAAGCUACUACGUGCUGCUGCUACCCGCUGAAAAGUUAAUAACCCUAGCUAGCUGGUCAGUGUUCUCAAGAUUCGAUCGAGAGCUAUUUUGCUCUUCAGGCUCCUUUCCUCCGUUGAAUUGGAAUUGAAUGAAGCACGAUUCCUUAAUGUACUAGUACUAUUAUUUUUAGUUUCAGAGAAGAAAAGAAAAGAAAAGGUACAUGUAUUAAAUCCUACUAAAUAUUUCACUGUUAACUCUCUACUAACAUUUUGAUCAGGCAUUUUAGAAAACAAAACCACCGUGUCUGUUCCUAUACUAAACAAUGCUUCAGGGGACGCUCUUCAGUUCUAGCACGUAUUUACAGCCACUCAAGCUUUACUAUAGCAGCAUUUUACAAAGUGCUUCGUACAUGCAUUUCAGUUGCAAAAACCACAGUAACAACCGUUCUUCAAUUUUGUCCGGGAAAAAGAGCUAAACAUUUCGCUCAGCAUUUAGCAGAGAAAAAAUCGUUUCAUUGCUCAGGCAUCGCCGCGACCCUCUUCAGAUUUAGCAAGCAUUUACAGCAAUCGGAGCUUUCCUUAGCAGCUUUUUACUAACAGCUUCGUUUAGACAUUUCAGUUGCAAAACACGCACACAGCACCCGUUGAAACUGCUACGCGCAGAAAGUAAAACUGAAAGUUACGUCCUACUGCUACCCGCUGAAAAACUAACCCUCGCUGGUUGCUGCGACCUACCAGCCGAUACGGCGGGGCCAAGCGUAUAAAGCAGCGAGGCAGGCAGCCAUACACGCGUCUCAAUAUCCUUGGCUCUCGCCGGCUAUAAAUCCAAGCCAGCACCAGCUCCAUUCAUCAGCACAGACACAACAGAGACCACUCGGUCACUAACGCUCUUCGGUUCCAAAGAGAGAGGGAAAGCAACACAGGCACAGAGAGAGAGAGAGAGAGCAAGCAAGAGUUCGUGGGAGCUGCAGCAAUGGCGACGCGUCGCCUCUCUUCCUGCUGCCUUCUGCUCGCCGUGCUCCUGGUGGCGGCGGCGGCGGCCACGGCCUUCGACGAGGCGGCGGCGGCUGCCGGCGUCGGGCUGGGUCACGGGGCGCGUUUCGCGCGAAAGCCUGGGCGUGCUGUCGCGGAGAUGCCUCAGCCGGAGUCCCAGCCUCAGCCGGAACCCAAACCUGAACCGAAACCAGAGCCCAUGCCACAUCCUGAGCCUAAACCUGAACCAAAGCCCAUGCCGGAGCCAAAGCCAAUGCCACAUCCAGAGCCGAAACCUGAGCCCAUGCCUCACCCUGAACCGAAACCUGAGCCAAAGCCCGAACCUAAGCCUGAGCCAAAACCCAUGCCCGAGCCAAAACCUGAACCAAAACCCAUGCCCGAGCCUAAGCCGGAACCUAAGCCUGAGCCAAAACCUGAACCAAAACCUAAGCCCGAGCCAAAACCUGAACCAAAACCUAAGCCUGAGCCAAAACCCAUGCCCGAGCCGAAACCUGAACCAAAACCCAUGCCCGAGCCUAAGCCUGAGCCAACACCCGUGCCCGAGCCAAAGCCGGAACCUAAGCCCGAGCCGAAACCCAUGCCCGAGCCAAAACCCAAGCCCGAGCCCAAGCCGGAACCCAAGCCCGAGCCGGAACCCAAGCCCGAGCCGGAACCCAAGCCCGAGCCAAAGCCGGAACCUAAGCCCGAGCCAAAGCCGGAACCUAAGCCCGAGCCGAAACCCAAGCCUGAGCCAAAGCCCGAACCGAAGCCAAAGCCCGAGCCAAAGCCGAAGCCGGAACCUAAACCCGAGCCCAAGC
rnacentral:lncRNA from 1 species